CAUCAACACAUAAAUCUACUCUACCCGGCUUAAAUCACAAGAGCACCUCUGACCAAAAAGCUGUAGAUUUUUCUUGUUUGCACAAAUUAAUCCAGAUUCACAUUAAUUGUGUUCACAGCUCCAACAAAAUGAGGAAGAGGAGGGGGAGAAACACAAUUAGGUUGAAUUACAAUUGGAUGGAAGGCGAGGACAAGGAGAAGGAAGCUUAGGAUGAGGAGGAAGAGAAGCAGCAGGAGCAUCUUUAGGGAUCCCUAUGAUGUCAUUGAGAGGCAGCGGCGAGAGGGGAGACCUCGGCUCAUCCAGUUGGAGAGCCUGACCAGGAGGAGUCGAACAUUAACUCAGCUCUUCCAGGGCACCCUGCAGACUCGGCUACUGGCAACAGCAAGGGAUGACGUGAACGCCAAACUGGAGUCCAUCACAGGUCAACUGCAGCUCCUUGUCUCAGAGUGGGAGGGAUUUGAAGCACAAAGGGAGGAACUUGUCGUUUGGUUGGCUGAUAUGGAUGUCCGCCUGAGUGAGGUUGACCAGCUGACAGGAAACACCAGUGAAAAACUGAAACAACUGCAGGUGUGGGCUUGUUUUGAUAUGACAUAUAUUUGAUAUGAUAUAUACGUCAGAGACAUUAUCCUAAACUGGACUAACAAAGGACCAUGAGUACAACAUGAAACGUACAUUACAUAGCGUAAGGCUGAAGUUCAUUGAUCAUUUUAAUCAUAAACUUGUUGUUGAAAUAUUUUUACUGAACAUGCAAACAUCUGCUGAUGAAAAUGUGUUGAUUUAUUGGUCUGUUA
ensembl:lncRNA